rnacentral:rRNA from 1 species
GCAGCCGCGGUAAUUCCAGCUCCAAUAGCGUAUAUUAAAGUUGUUGCAGUUAAAAAGCUCGUAGUUGAAUUUCGGGAUUAACGUGAUGGUCGUGCCUUAAGGGGUAUGAACUGUCGCUGUUGAUUUCUCACCUUCUGGAGAAACUUGAUGUCCUUAAUUGGGUGUCUUGCGGAUCCAGGACCUUUACCUUGAAAAAAUUAGAGUGUUUAAAGCAGGCAUUUUUGCUCGAAUACAUUAGCAUGGAAUAAUAGAAUAGGACGGCAUGGUUCUAUUUUGUUGGUUUCUAGGAUCACCGUAAUGAUUAAUAGGGAUAGUUGGGGGCAUUAGUAUUCAAUUGUCAGAGGUGAAAUUCUUGGAUUUAUUGAAGACUAACUACUGCGAAAGCAUUUGCCAAGGAUGUUUUCAUUAAUCAAGAACGAAAGUUAGGGGAUCGAAGACGAUCAGAUACCGUCGUAGUCUUAACCAUAAACUAUGCCGACUAGGAAUCAGACGAUGUUAAUUUUUUAAUGACUCGUUUGGCACCUUACGGG